GGGCCGUUAGCUCAGCGGGAGAGCGCUGCCUUCACACGGCAGAAGCCACUGGUUCGAUCCCAGUACGGCCCACCA
rnacentral:tRNA from 3 species